CGAUUUGGAUGUCGUCAGCUCGUGUCGUGAGAUGUUGGGUUAAGUCCCGCAACGAGCGCAACCCUUACCUUUAGUUGCCAGCGGGUCAUGCCGGGAACUCUAAAGGGACUGCCCGGGUUAACCGGGAGGAAGGCGGGGAUGAUGUCAAGUCCUCAUGGCCCUUAUGUCCAGGGCUACACACGUGCUACAAUGGGCGAUACAAACCGUUGCGAGAUCGCGAGAUGGAGCUAAUCGGAGAAAGUCGUCCUCAGUUCGGAUUGUAGUCUGCAACUCGACUGCAUGAAGGUGGAAUCGCUAGUAAUCGUGUAUCAGAAUGAUACGGUGAAUACGUUCCCGGGCCUUGUACACACCGCCCGUCACAUCACGAAAGCCGGGAGCACUUGAAGAGGCUGUGGUAACCCGCAAGGGGGCUAGGUCUCAAUGGUGAACUUGGUGAUUGGGGUGAAGUCGUAACAAGGUAGCUGUAGGAGAACCUGUGGCUGGAUCACCUCCUUUCUAAGGAGAGCCGA
rnacentral:rRNA from 1 species